rnacentral:tRNA from 1 species
UAUAUUUUAGUGUGAGUUGCACAAGAGAUUUUGAUUCUUUAAGUUAAAAUUAGUAUUUUAAGAUAUAA